rnacentral:lncRNA from 1 species
AAAAGGUUUCAUUGGGCUGACACGCUACCACUCCUCACUCUCACAGACUCUCUCUGCUUUAACUGUUCUCUCCCUCACUCACCUUUCCACACGACCUCUCUCUCUCUCUCUCUCUCUCUCUCUCUCUCUCUCUCUCUCUCUAUGUUCUCUCCCUCACUCACCUUUCCACACGACCUCUCUCUCUCUCUCUCUCUCUCUCUCUCUCUCUCUCUCUCUCUCUCUCUCUUGUCCUCUAACGGAAAGAAAAAAGAAAAUACAACAAGCUACCAUAUAGGUGACUCCUCAAUCUGAACUUCUCACACACAUAAAAGGACAAGGAGAAAACAAAAUACAUGAA